rnacentral:rRNA from 1 species
AGUGAACGCUGGCGGUAGGCCUAACACAUGCAAGUCGAACGGCAGCACAGUAAGAGCUUGCUCUUACGGGUGGCGAGUGGCGGACGGGUGAGGAAUACAUCGGAAUCUACUUUUUCGUGGGUGAUAACGUAGGGAAACUUACGCUAAUACCGCAUACGACCUACGGGUGAAAGCAGUGGAUCUUCGGACCUUGCGCGAUUGAAUGAGCCGAUGUCGGAUUAGCUAGUUGGCGGGGUAAAGGCCCACCAAGGCGACGAUCCGUAGCUGGUCUGAGAGGAUGAUCAGCCACACUGGAACUGAGACACGGUCCAGACUCCUACGGGAGGCAGCAGUGGGGAAUAUUGGACAAUGGGCGCAAGCCUGAUCCAGCCAUACCGCGUGGGUGAAGAAGGCCUUCGGGUUGUAAAGCCCUUUUGUUGGGAAAGAAAAGCAGCAGGUUAAUACCCCGCUGUUCUGACGGUACCCAAAGAAUAAGCACCGGCUAACUUCGUG